AGUGAACGCUGGCGGUAGGCCUAACACAUGCAAGUCGAACGGCAGCACAGUAAGAGCUUGCUCUUACGGGUGGCGAGUGGCGGACGGGUGAGGAAUACAUCGGAAUCUACUUUGUCGUGGGGGAUAACGCAGGGAAACGUACGCUAAUACCGCAUACGACCUACGGGUGAAAGCAGGGGAUCUUCGGACUUUGCGCGAUUGAAUGAGCCGAUGUCGGAUUAGCUAGUUGGCGGGGUAAAGGCCCACCAAGGCGACGAUCCGUAGCUGGUCUGAGAGGAUGAUCAGCCACCCUGGAACUGAGACACGGUCCAGACUCCUACGGGAGGCCGCAGUGGGGACUAUUGGGCAAUGCGGCCAAGCCUGAUCCAGCCAUACCGCGUGGGUCAAGAAGGCGUUCGGGUUGUACAGCCCUUUUGUUGUGAAAGAAAAACAGCUGGUUAAUACGCGGCUGUUCUGACGGUACCCAAAGAAUAAGCACCGGCUAACUUCGUG
rnacentral:rRNA from 1 species